UACGAAGGGGGCUAGCGUUGCUCGGAAUCACUGGGCGUAAAGCGCACGUAGGCGGAUUGUUAAGUCAGGGGUGAAAUCCUGGAGCUCAACUCCAGAACUGCCUUUGAUACUGGCGAUCUUGAGUUCGGGAGAGGUGAGUGGAACUGCGAGUGUAGAGGUGAAAUUCGUAGAUAUUCGCAAGAACACCAGUGGCGAAGGCGGCUCACUGGUCCGGUACUGACGCUGAGGUGCGAAAGCGUGGGGAGCAACAGGG
rnacentral:rRNA from 1 species